ensembl:snRNA Gm24661 U6 spliceosomal RNA
GUGCUCGCUUCGGCAGCUCAUGUACUGAAGUUGGAAUGAUACAGAGACCACCACGGCCCCUGGGCAAGGAUGACAUGCAAAUUUGAGAGGUAUUCCAUAUUUUU